UUUUUGGGUAUAAAUGGUCACAACACUGUUAUUUCAUGUCACAAAUAACCUAGAAAUGAAGCGGUGCUGAAGAGAUGAGGCACCAGUAAGUAGGAGCCACAGUGGGUUCAAUACAGAUUUCACCCACCUAAACCAAAAAACCCAGGUCUAUCUGAAGAAACUUAAACCCUGAGCAUGAUGCUGCCACCUCCAUGUUUCACUACCAUGUCUUGGGAUUUUGGAUUGGUGUUCUACCUGCGGAGUCUUUCAGUGUACCGACCUGGAUUACCGCCUCUGUCUUCAUCACUGACAGCUUUUAUUGUCAGCGUCUGUUUCUCUGCCAGAGUAGUGCUCUGCCAGCUGAAGAGGACUGCAAAACAAAUCCUCAGUUUCAGCUUCUCCAGAGUCCCCCUGCCAACCAUUCUCUCUCUGACACCUCAGAGGCUGCUUCGUUCCCCCCGCUCGUCUCUCACCGCUGCUACGAAAUGGUGAUAU